ACGGGUGAGUAAUGCAUCGGAACGUACCGAGUAAUGGGGGAUAACUGUCCGAAAGGACAGCUAAUACCGCAUACGCCCUGAGGGGGAAAGCGGGGGAUCUUGGGACCUCGCGUUAUUCGAGCGGCCGAUGUCUGAUUAGCUAGUUGGUGGGGUAAAGGCCUACCAAGGCGACGAUCAGUAGCGGGUCUGAGAGGACGAUCCGCCACACUGGGACUGAGACACGGCCCAGACUCCUACGGGAGGCAGCAGUGGGGAAUUUUGGACAAUGGGCGCAAGCCUGAUCCAGCCAUGCCGCGUGUCUGAAGAAGGCCUUCGGGUUGUAAAGGACUUUUGUCAGGGAAGAAAAGGCUUUUGCUAAUACCAAGAGCUGAUGACGGUACCUGAAGAAUAAGCACCGGCUAACUACGUGCCAGCAGCCGCGGUAAUACGUAGGGUGCGAGCGUUAAUCGGAAUUACUGGGCGUAAAGCGAGCGCAGACGGUUUGUUAAGCAGGAUGUGAAAUCCCCGGGCUCAACCUGGGAACUGCGUUCUGAACUGGCAGGCUAGAGUGUGUCAGAGGGGGGUAGAAUUCCACGUGUAGCAGUGAAAUGCGUAGAGAUGUGGAGGAAUACCGAUGGCGAAGGCAGCCCCCUGGGAUAACACUGACGUUCAUGCUCGAAAGCGUGGGUAGCAAACAGGAUUAGAUACCCUGGUAGUCCACGCCCUAAACG
rnacentral:rRNA from 1 species